rnacentral:lncRNA from 1 species
GGCAGUCCAAAGCCCUACGCGCUGACAGAAAUAACCUCCUUAGCAGAAAUGCACUGGUCUCGUUCCCUGCAGGGCAUCAGAGCCCAGAGGGCACGAUGGAUCACACCUGUAAUCCCAGCAUUUUGGGAGACCAAGGCAGGCAGAUCACGAGGUCAAGAGAUCGAGACCAUCCUGGCCAUCAUGGUGAAACCCUGUCUCUACUAAAAAUACAACAAUUAGCCAGGCCUGGUGACACACGCCUGUAGUCCCAGCUACUCAGGAGGCUGAGGCAGGAGAAUCACUUAAACCUGGGAGGCGGAGGUUACAGUGAGCCGAGAUCGCACCACUGCACUCCAGCCUGGCGACAGAGCGAGACUCCGUCUCAAAAACAAAAAAUACAUACAUAAAUAAAUAAAAUUUCUG